GACGAACGCUGGCGGCGUGCUUAACACAUGCAAGUCGAACGGAAAGGCCCUGCUUUUGUGGGGUGCUCGAGUGGCGAACGGGUGAUUAACACGUGCGUAACCUGCCCUUGACUUUGGGAUAACUUCAGGUAACUGGGGCUCAUACCGGAUAUGAGCUCCUGCUGCAUGGUGGGGGUUGGAAAGUUUCGGCGGUUGGGGAUGGACUCGCGGCUUAUCAGCUUGUUGGUUGGGUAGUGGCUUACCAAGGCUUUGACGGGUAGCCGGCCUGAGAGGGUGACCGGCCACAUUGGGACUGAGAUACGGCGCAGACUCCUACGGGAGGCAGCAGUGGGGAAUAUUGCACAAUGGGCGGAAGCCUGAUGCAGCAACGCCGCGUGCGGGAUGACGGCCUGCGGGUUGUAAACCGCUUUCGCCUGUGACGAAGCGUGAGUGACGGUAAUGUGUAAAGAAGCACCGGCUAACUACGUG
rnacentral:rRNA from 1 species